UAACUUUAUUAACUUUCAUGAUUACCAUUUUUACCAUUUGAUUAUCAUGGCAAUAUUUGGGUUCUGGUUGUAAAAUAUUUUUAGGUUUCCAAUUUGAUCUUUUUUUGUAGUCAAAAAACAAUUUAAACCAUCAAAAAAUUGUUUCAUGUUGACUGCAAUUUGAUUAAUUUUAUGAAAAAUAUCGGAAAAUGUUGAAUAGCAAUAGACUUGAAGUAGGCAGUAAUUGUAUCUUGUUGGGUGCGACGAAAGUUGUUACGUGAGUUUGCUGUUUUGGCGAUGUUUGCGUCGACUAUUUGUGUGUUUGUUUUUAUGCUCAAAAGGACAACUAGUUGAUUCGUUGGUAAAUGGUGCAAAAAACAGGUCAAACUCGAGAGCAGAACAUGAAAGAGAGACGAAGAGAGUGAAAAGUUCAUCUUGAGGUAAAAUGUUUUUGCUUACUUUCGUAACAUUUUCAGUACCUUUUCAAAGUACUUUACUCGUAAGGCCAAUGAAGUUUCAUCCUCAACUUUUCUAUUCAUUUCUUUUAUUCUCUUUUUUCUCUCUCUCUACCUGUCUUACAUUCUUGAUGACCGUGACCCUUAAACGUUACUGGUCAUUCAUUUUUUCACUUUCUCGUCUUUCUUUGUUGGUUAGAGUAAAAGGUAAGGAAAAGAGAAAGGAAAAUGAGUUGACCUGUAAGGAAAAAGCGAAAGAGAAGAAGAAGAGGAAGAUAGAAGUAAUCAUUUUACGUUACUUUACCUGUAUCGAAUAAAUCUCUUUCUUUUUCACCUGAUAAUGGUGACUUUUUUAAAUGAAAAUGAAUAAGGAAAAAUUUCAACCUAAUAACAAUAAAAAGACAUAUUUACUUUCAUCAACAAGAAGCCAAUCAUUUAUGUUUAAUGCAACAUGAAUAGUCUGAUUGAAACCGGGAAAUGAAAUAAUUAACUAAUGCUUAUAAUUCAGUGAAAGUUAUACAGGCUAUCGUUGAAAUUAUCACAGAUGCAAGUUUAGGUAACCAUUUUUUGGUUGAUAAAGUGAUUAAAAUGGCGAUGCUUUUUGUUUGCCAACUUUGACAAUAAACUGAUAACAAUGAAAAGAAGACAAUUGACCCUGAUUUAACAAGUAACGACAUUACAAAUAUAAGUUAUAAUGAUGUUGAUACAAGCAAAUAAUUCUAUUAAUGAUCAAGAAUUAAAGUGAAAAUGAGACCAGAAAAAAAAAGUGAAAAAAAUUUGGUAAAACUUGAAAAACAGCAACAAAAGUGAACACGAGCUUGGAUGAAAACAGGUAAAGGUUAAGGCUAAUGGAUCAACAGCAUUCUAAUGGGUUACGCAGUUAAUUUAAUUGCUCUGAUUGGCUUAACAAUUGAACAAAACCUAAAAAGGCAACCUUUUUGUUAAACUUGAAAUUUUUGCUAUCAGUUCAAAUUUGUUCAUUUUCAAAAAAUGUAACAAUAAUGGUUAGACAGGUUCAACAUUCAACCAGAAUGAGAAAUUCAAGUUUUAGCUGUUUAAUAAAAAUUGCAAAUUUACUAAUCAUUAUUUCAACUGACAAAAUGUUACUCUUUCAAUGUUUAGGUUAUGAUUCAAAGGCUAAAAAGGUUGAAGGAAAAUUGAAAAGCUAAGAUUGAUAACAUUUUGUCUCUUCUUUGUUACCAGUUUAAUCAGAGUUGAAGGUUACGAAAGGGUAACAUAAGCGUUAUUAACAAUGGUACCAGUAACCCUUGGUAACCAGAAAGGACGAGAACCUUUCUUUUCCCUCCAUUUUACUGGUUCAACACUUGUAGACGAUGCACGUUGGAAAAAUGCUGUUAAACCAGAGCCUCUCGGUUUGACAUUGAUUAAGAACUAAAUUAAUCAAUCAUUUCUACAUUUUGAUUUCUCGGUGAUUUCACCUUUUAUUGAAACUAUCAUCUAAAGUGACAUUUUAUUUCUCAAAAUUCUGGUCAACUUUUUCCACUGGACUUUGGUUUUUACAUUUGUUGUGUUGUUUAUUUAUCGAUACCAGCGAUAAGAUUAUAUUAAAUGAAUCUUUCAAUCUUUAGAAAGCAGAAUAGGCCAAAAAGAAGAAGAUUUUGUUCGUUCGUUCGUUUUGCUGUUGACGGAUCCGGAUCGUUAUUAUCAUCAUCGCCGUUUGUGUUUACCUUUCGUUCUGCUUUAUAAACAGUUACUGUUUUUGGUUACAAGUUAAUAACAAAGCAAGUUGGUUAAACAUUCGCCUACUUAAAGUGAUAAUUUUUUCAUUUCACCCCUUUCUCUUUCUUUUCUUUCAUCAAUUGAAUGAACAACUGGGAAGAGAAAGGUAAGCUACUGAUGAGCAAAGAAGAAGCAAAAGAAGAUUGGCGCGACUUUGAAUGUCAAAUUGAUCAGGUCACUAAUAGUGCCUGAAACUGGGUUACUAUUUGCUCCUCUUUUUUUUCUUUCAAAAUUUUUCUUUUGCCCUUUUUUGCUUCUCUUUCAAUUCUUACAGAAUAAUAUUUGACAUCAAAAUGGAAACAAAUAAAUUUUCGAUUUAAAAAUAAAAACUUGAUAGCAAUCGUAACAUAGAACAUGAUAACCUGUAAUUAAAACAAUUAGAGCACUAAAUCAAAGGCACAAAAACCUAAACACACAAGCAAGUCCUGAAUAAAAAGAGAGAGAGAGAGAGCAAGAUAGACAGAAAGAGGAAGCGAAAGAGAGAAAGUAGAAAAUAAUUUCCUAAAACAUCAUAUGAAGCUUCAAAUCGACUAAUUGAUAAUUAAUGAAAAGGUACAGAUAUACAUAUAAAUUGGUAAAUACUAGUAUCAAAUUUACAUUAAAUUAAUGUCUCGCUAAAAUAUAAAUUAACGCACUCAAAGUAGGUUAGUAAAAAGUGUAUCUUCCCGACCAAACACAAGGUGUCUCUGCAACGUGAAACUUUUCAUGGUGAUAAUGAUGAAAAUGAAGAAGAAAAAGAAGGAGAGAGAAGAAAUAAGAAAGGAAAGAAAAGGCAACAUCAUGUAACAAACAAGAUUCAAAUUGGUAAGAUAGAGGAUGCGUCACCAAGCAACCUUUGCUUUGAUGGAAAUACUUUUUUUCACAAAAAUAAGAGAAAAAGAAAAAAGAAGAGAAAGAGAAAGAAAGGAAUUGGAUGUUAUCUGUUAUGCUAUAAUCAAAAUGAAAAGAAGAGGAAGAAAGAGAGAAGAGAAAGAGAAAGAUUCAGCAAAAAGAAGCUUUGAGGUUGUUUCUUUUUUUCAUGGUUUGGAAAAAAAAGAAGGUUGGAUUCAUCCUUGAUGUGCCCUUGGAAACCAAAUGAGUGCAUCGCCCUAUUAGGUUUCCAUGGUGACCGUCCUAAUUCAAGGACAGGAGAGUGAGCCAGGCAAGAAGAGAGUGAGUGAGAAAAGUGGAUUCAGCGCUCAAUGAAUAACCUCAUUGAGAGCAUCGAACGACUUCAAGGUCUUGCCUGCUCACUCGAUAUCUCUUCACUCUCUCAACAUCAACUUCAAUUUCUAGUUUUAUAAUCAACUUCUCUUUCUUCAUUUCUUUCCUUACUUUUCUCUCUGUCUUCAAUCUCUUUCUCUCUUAUAUCCUGUUUCACUUUUUCCUUCUUCUCUUUCUUUUUCCUCUUUCUUUCCAACUCCCUCUUUCAACCAGAUUCUAGUUUUAUUAUCAACUCUCUUCUCUCUUCUCUCUCUCUCUCAUUUAUCCUUCACUUACACUUUUCUCUUUCUUUUAUGUUUCUAUCAAAACUUUCCCGUCUUCCUUUUUGUCUUCAGCCUCCCCCUUCUCUCUCUCUCUCUUUCUCAAUAUCUUUCUUCCUUCUAUUGUUCCUCUCUCAUUAUUUCCUCUUUUUGUCUCUGUCUCUUACAUUCUAUCAGUGUCUCUUCUCUUCCAUAUAACAGUCAAGGGCAAAGAGGGAAGAGGAAUCAGAGAGAGUGAGAGAGACAUGAUAAAUGUAGUUUCUAUCGAUCUUUUACUUUCUCUCUUUUUACUUUCUUUUUUCUUCCUCUCUCUCUCAAUGUUUCAUAAAUAUAUUAAUCAGCAUAUUUACGCUAAACUAAAUAAUACGACUGAUAUACUGAUAAUAAAGGUUCUUCCGGUUCAAGCUCAUUGUUUUGUUUUGUUUCAUCAGUUGCGUCUAUUUAAUCCUAAAAAUUCAAGUUGAUUGCUCAAAAUUUAUCGGAAAUUAAAAAAUUGAUAAAAUUGAAGAAGAGAUAAAAAGUAAAUAACAAUAAUUGUAAUUUCAUCCCGACUGAUAAUUACUGACACAUUAUCAUAUCUCUCGAGCUCUUUCCUUACUUUUGCAACGAAAACAAAAUUAUUCAUAUCAAAGUAUGAGUUUUUUUUCUGUCAAUGAACAUAAUCAUGAACAGAGAAUGAAAAUUCGCCUGAAAAUAAAAAUCAUUAUUGCGAUAUCAAGAGAUGGAAUAAACAAAGGAAUGAAUAAAUAGAAAAAAUAAUUUCUUUUCUGUUGAGAAUUGGAAUCAUUUUCGAUUAUCAUUGAAAUGAUAAAAAAAAUAAUAUCAAUCAAAGUUGAACAAGAAUGAUGUUGAAAUGCUGUUGAUUUGAACCAUGAAAUUGGCAAAUUAAUUUGUUCUUUUCAGUUUGUUUGCAAUAUUAAUUGUAAUCA